UACGGGGGGGGCAAGCGUUGUUCGGAAUUACUGGGCGUAAAGGGUUUGUAGGUGGUCUGCUAAGUCAGACGUGAAAUCCCUCAGCUUAACUGGGGAACUGCGUCUGAUACUGGCGGACUUGAGGACAGGAGAGGAACGCGGAAUUCCAGGUGUAGCGGUGAAAUGCGUAGAUAUCUGGAGGAACACCGGUGGCGAAGGCGGCGUUCUGGACUGUUUCUGACACUGAAAAACGAAAGCCAGGGGAGCAAACGGG
rnacentral:rRNA from 1 species